UACGGAGGGUGCAAGCGUUGUUCGGAAUUAUUGGGCGUAAAGCGCGCGCAGGCGACCGAAUAAGUCCAUGGGUGAAGGGCCGGGGCUCAACCCCGAGCAUGCCCAGGAUACUGAUCGGCUGGAGACACGUAGAGGCAAGCGGAAUUCCGGGUGUAGCGGUGGAAUGCGUAGAGAUCCGGAAGAACACCGGAGGCGAAGGCGGCUUGCUGGGCGUGAUCUGACGCUGAGGCGCGAAAGCGUGGGGAGCGAACAGG
rnacentral:rRNA from 1 species